rnacentral:lncRNA from 1 species
AAAAGCAACUUGAAAUAAUUUAUUUCCAGAAACGGAAGAACAACAAUGGAUAAAAGAAUACUUAUUUUCACAACCAUAACGAUGCUUUGUGUCAUGAGCGAUGACACAAUGUUAAAAAAGGGCGUCAUCUUUGUAAAUCAGGGAAACUUUCUCCUUACAACCAGUCGUUGGAAUCUAGUCGUUGACAUCAGAUUCGAGGGAUACGAUAUUCAACUCCUCUGACUGAGAAAACAUCUUAAUAAGCUACAUCGAAUAGUCAAAGGGGCUCGGACAAAAACAACAGGAUUAACGAACAUACUUUGGAACUAUACCGCUACCGAAAUAGGAAAUUUAAAUCGAGUUCUAAAAGACCAAUACAAUCAAUAUCAGGACUUAAAGGCACUAGUUACAUUAAAGAUGUCAGAGAAAAAGAGACGAGCUUUAAUUGAUGCGGGAGGAGAUAUACUAAAAUUCCUAUUUGGGACAGCAACAACCAAAGAAGUAGAAGAUCUUAACGCAAGGGUAUCACAAAUUAAAACUAAGCAGGAAGGGGUCAACCCCUUGAGUUCUCCAGCACUUCCUCCCACUAACAGAACGACUCAAGUCUUAUACUUUUUUUUUUAUUAUUAUUUUUUUAAUUGUAAAACCAUAUUUUGUCUAAUUAUUUAUUAGUCUGUCUUUAAGGGAAAUGAUGCGUCGUGCAACUUCUGCUGCUCGUAGUCUUGCU